AUCCAUGCUUCUUAUUUUACGAGAUUUGCAUCGCGCAUGUGCUAUCUGCUUUUAUAACGUCUUGAAAGAAUAUUUGUCAUCCUGAAGAAUUUAACACGAUUCGGACACAGGCGGAGUGAAAUAAAAUAAGACGUGUGUCCGUGAACUUUAGAAUGUUAUUUUUUUUACUUUGUGACCCAGCUAUUUGUACGCACAUCGUAUUGAUAUAAAGGCGAUAAGGAUUUUCGUUUUCAGUUGCAAUACGACCUACGUAAUCCCGUAAUUUAAAGGAUACCCAGCGGUAAUCAGCCCUCCGAGUUGCUGAACAGAUGCCAUGUACCCGAAUUUCCGAGACGCAACUGAAUGUCUUCUUCUUCUGCUUUUAAGAUUCCCAGUUCGAGGUGAUGUGCAGUUAAUCUUAGAUGUGCUGUCUCUAGUGACCAGAAAUAAUCCGUGUGUGAAUCCUCACAAACACAGUGAAUGAGGCACAACAGUACCAACAAUCACAAAACAGUUAUGUGGAGGAGUCUGGCCAUGUUAUGGAGCAGCAGUUAAAGAAAAAGAAAGGACAGAUGUGUGGCAUGUUGAAGUAGUCGGUGGCCCUCUUGACCAGCAACCCAAGAAAUGUCCAUCUAAAUCUCUGGUGUGGAUCUACUGUAUCUUUGCCAAGUGAUCACGAGUUUAUUGCAGUGGUGCCCUGCAUCACUGCCAUCUGUUAAGUCAACUCCAAAUGCCAGUGGUGUUGGAGAGAAGAAAAAGUUCACAGGAUACCCUGAAAUUCUGAUUAGACGAAGAUGGCUACCUUUACACUUCUCAUCAAGUUUUAGAACACCUGAGUUUUUUUUCCUGUUUUUUUUUUUAAAUUUAAUCAGUUGAAAUGCAGUGAAUGACCUAAAAUGGCGAAAAGGUAAGCAGUAAACCGCUAGAGUUUUAAAUUUAGAAUUCAUAUUAGCAAAAACUGAAAAAAGGAAAGUUUAGAAUAUUACAAAUGGGCCUUCUUUGGGGAACAACUAAUAGGUUACA